rnacentral:rRNA from 1 species
UACGGAGGGUGCGAGCGUUGUCCGGAAUCAUUGGGCGUAAAGGGCGCGUAGGUGGCCCGGUGAGUCUUUGGUGAAAGCGCGGGGCUCAACCCUGCGUCGGCCAGGGAUACUGCCGCGGCUCGAGCACUGUAGAGGCAGGCGGAAUUCCGGGUGUAGCGGUGGAAUGCGUAGAGAUCCGGAAGAACACCGGUGGCGAAGGCGGCCUGCUGGGCAGUGGC